UAUGGUUAUAAUGAAAUUCCAACCCAUCAUUUACGUAUCAACUCAGUGUGCCUAUAAAAAACCUCUAAUACUCGCGUUUGAACUUAGUUGGUUUAGAGAGGAAGCCACUAAAAGUGUGAAAGAUUAGCAGGUAAAAGACAUAUAAAUAUACUAACCCGUUGACACGAUAUUCUACUUUUAAGUUUAUGUAAAGAGAGAGUAGUUGAGCACUAAUGAAACGUCGUGUACUGUGCUGCCACACAAGUAAUACUCC